GGGGGUCGGAGCUUAACUCCAACCCCUGUGACAUACCAAUUGUUGCCUCGGCGGAUCAGCCCGCUCCCGGUAAAACGGGACGGCCCGCCAGAGGACCCCUAAACUCUGUUUCUAUAUGUAACUUCUGAGUAAAACCAUAAAUAAAUCAAAACUUUCAACAACGGAUCUCUUGGUUCUGGCAUCGAUGAAGAACGCAGCAAAAUGCGAUAAGUAAUGUGAAUUGCAGAAUUCAGUGAAUCAUCGAAUCUUUGAACGCACAUUGCGCCCGCCAGUAUUCUGGCGGGCAUGCCUGUUCGAGCGUCAUUUCAACCCUCAAGCCCCCGGGUUUGGUGUUGGGGAUCGGCGAGCCCUUGCGGCAAGCCGGCCCCGAAAUCUAGUGGCGGUCUCGCUGCAGCUUCCAUUGCGUAGUAGUAAAACCCUCGCAACUGGUACGCGGCGCGGCCAAGCCGUUAAACCCCCAACUUCUGAAUGUUGACCUCGGAUCAGGUAGGAAUACCCGCUGAACUUAAGCAUAUCAAAGCCCGGAGGAA
rnacentral:rRNA from 1 species